rnacentral:rRNA from 1 species
UACGUAGGGUGCAAGCGUUAAUCGGAAUUACUGGGCGUAAAGAGCGCGCAGGCGGCUGGUCAAGUCCGAUGUGAAAGCUCCCGGCUUAACUGGGAAAUUGCAUCGGAAACUGAUCGGCUGGAAGGUGGGAGAGGGUAGCGGAAUUCCCGGUGUAGUGGUGAAAUGCGUAGAUAUCGGGAGGAACACCAGUGGCGAAAGCGGCUACCUGGCCCAUUCUUGACGCUGAGGCGCGAAAGCUAGGGGAGCAAACGGG